rnacentral:miRNA from 1 species
GCUCGUGUGGAACAGAAGGGG